UUUCAAAUUAAUUUAAUUGAUAGGUAAAAAUCCGUUGAAUUUGCAAAAAUUAGAAUAAAAACAACUUGAGAUGGGUGUUCUUUGAAUCUUGUUAUUAAUGAAGAUCCGCGAAUUUUAGAAAAACAUAUUUGGUUAAUAGAAUAAUCAGUAGACUAGAUGUAUUUAAAGUAUGAUUCUACGUAGCAAGGCUAAGAGCAUUAAUCCAUA
rnacentral:lncRNA from 1 species